rnacentral:misc_RNA from 1 species
AGUGAUAAAAAACGGCGCCUGCGGGGCGCCGUUUUUUUUACCAGCGGUUUUUUACCAGCCGUUUUUUACCAAU